UUCUUUAUCACCGAGUGCUUGCACUCACCGGUAAAGGGUUGAGUGGCGAACGGGUGAGUAACACGUGGGCAACCUGCCCAAAAGAGGGGGAUAACACUUGGAAACAGGUGCUAAUACCGCAUAACCAUAGUUACCGCAUGGUAGCUAUGUAAAAGGUGGCUAUGCUACCGCUUUUGGAUGGGCCCGCGGCGCAUUAGCUAGUUGGUGGGGUAAAGGCUUACCAAGGCAAUGAUGCGUAGCCGAACUGAGAGGUUGAUCGGCCACAUUGGGACUGAGACACGGCCCAAACUCCUACGGGAGGCAGCAGUAGGGAAUCUUCCACAAUGGGCGAAAGCCUGAUGGAGCAACGCCGCGUGGGUGAAGAAGGUCUUCGGAUCGUAAAACCCUGUUGUUAGAGAAGAAAGUGCGUGAGAGUAACUGUUCACGUUUCGACGGUAUCUAACCAGAAAGCCACGGCUAACUACGUGCCAGCAGCCGCGGUAAUACGUAGGUGGCAAGCGUUAUCCGGAUUUAUUGGGCGUAAAGGGAACGCAGGCGGUCUUUUAAGUCUGAUGUGAAAGCCUUCGGCUUAACCGGAGUAGUGCAUUGGAAACUGGGAGACUUGAGUGCAGAAGAGGAGAGUGGAACUCCAUGUGUAGCGGUGAAAUGCGUAGAUAUAUGGAAGAACACCAGUGGCGAAAGCGGCUCUCUGGUCUGUAACUGACGCUGAGGUUCGAAAGCGUGGGUAGCAAACAGGAUUAGAUACCCUGGUAGUCCACGCCGUAAACG
rnacentral:rRNA from 1 species